UAAUACGUAGGGUGCAAGCGUUAAUCGGAAUUACUGGGCGUAAAGCGUGCGCAGGCGGUUGUGUAAGACAGAUGUGAAAUCCCCGGGCUCAACCUGGGAACUGCAUUUGUGACUGCACAGCUGGAGUACGGUAGAGGGGGAUGGAAUUCCGCGUGUAGCAGUGAAAUGCGUAGAUAUGCGGAGGAACACCGAUGGCGAAGGCAGUCCCCUGGACCUGUACUGACGCUCAUGCACGAAAGCGUGGGGAGCAAACAGGAUUAGAUACCCUGGUAGUCCACGCCCUAAACGAUGUCAACUGGUUGUUGGGUGGGUUUCUACUCAGUAACGAAGCUAACGCGUGAAGUUGACCGCCUGGGGAGUACGGCCGCAAGGUUGAAACUUAAAGGAAUUGACGG
rnacentral:rRNA from 1 species